rnacentral:rRNA from 1 species
UACGAACCGUGCGAGCGUUGUUCGGAAUCACUGGGCUUAAAGGGCGCGUAGGCGGGACAGCAAGUCUGCGGUGAAAGCCUCCAGCUUAACUGGAGAAGUGCCGUGGAUACUGCUGUCCUCGAGGAGGGUAGGGGCAUCUGGAACGUUGGGUGGAGCGGUGAAAUGCGUUGAUAUCAGGAGGAACACCGGUGGCGAAGGCGGGUCUCUGGGCCGAUACUGACGCUGAGGAGCGAAAGCGUGGGGAGCGAACAGG